rnacentral:lncRNA from 1 species
AUACAACACCAAAGCCAAACGGACAGCAAAAUGGGACCAAAUUGGACUCGCAAAUCUCAACAGCAAACUCGACGGAACCCAAAUCUGCCCGGAAACCUCACCGAAAAUCUCCAACCUCGAUGAUGAUUUAAACCAGCUUCGAACCUCAGCUCGCAGCCAAAUUUGUUCUGACUUUCCUCUUGAAAUCGGAUUAAAGACAUAAGCACAGACGAAGUAGAAUCAAAUACUUUUCAGUAUAAUAGAGAUGUCAAAAAUAUUGGUACAACUGAUAGGCCAAAAGCAACUUAUGAAUGCCACCAUUGUGUGUCUCAAGAAACACGGUAACCGGUUUGAAAUUGCAUGUUAUAAGGACCAAAUCGAGGUGUGAAUCUCACUCUCGAAUCCUAACUGGGGUGAGGAUUUUUUGAGACAACGACGUGGGGGAAGGGGGAUUUGUUUUGGUGUUACAAAGUUCAACGGCUACUUGGUGUUUGAAGUCUAUUAAGGCUGAUGCUUCUGUGAUUUCAUUCAAAAGCAAUAGCUUAUGGCUAGGAUGAAACCAUGGAAGAUGUCUCGUUCUUUGGCUGAAGAAGACGAUGAAGGGGGGGUUGUGUCUCGUCUACGACGCUGCAGCUUUUG